AUGACUAGAAGGUGAUCCAUUUGAUUUAGGAUAUGUUUAAUUACAGACCCAAGAAGCGAAUUGUUGAUCAAGAAAUUGUAAUGGUUAUCACAAAAGGGAUUAUUGUAUAUUGAAGUGUAUAAUUUACAGAAGAGUCACAGAUCUGCGAGUCACUUUCCUCAACUCUGCGAUGUCACAGUCACAAUAUGCUCAGGCAACUGUGUGCUAACCCACGCGUGUGUGUGUUGUUAUGAGCCCAGUACUCAUGUGUCCCUUGCAUUGUUUACUCUUGCCCAUAAAAAUAAAUUAACUUCUAUACUCA